rnacentral:rRNA from 1 species
AGUGAACGCCGGCGGCGUGCUUAACACAUGCAAGUCGAACGAGAACGGAACAUAGCUUGCUAUGUUUGUCAGCUAAGUGGCGAACGGGUGAGUAAUGUAUAGCUAAUGUGCCCCUUGGAGGGGGAUAACAGUUGGAAACGACUGCUAAUACCCCAUACUCCUUCUAUCUUAAUGAUAGUUGGGAAAUGUUUUUUCGCCAAGGGAUCGGGCUAUAUGGUAUCAGUUAGUUGGUGAGGUAACGGCUCACCAAAACGAUGACGCCUAGCUGGUCUGAGAGGAUGAUCACCCACACUGGAACUGAGACACGGUCCACACUCCUACGGGAGGCAGCAGUGGGGAAUAUUGCACAAUGGGGGAAACCCUGAUGCACCACCGCCGCGUGGAGGAUGACGCAUUUCGGUGUGUAAACUCCUUUUAUAUAAGAAGAUAAUGACGGUACUAUAUGAAUAAGCACCGGCUAACUCCGUGCCAGCAGCCGCGGUAAUACGGAGGGUGCAAGCGUUACUCGGAAUCACUGGGCGUAAAGCGCGCGCAGGCGGUUUGAUAAGUUGGAUGUGAAAUCCUAUGGCUUAACCAUAGAACUGCAUCCAAAACUGUCAAACUAGA